AGACCGGUAACUUAACGGUAAAGUGUAUUGCUCAUAACAAUAGACAAGGUGGUUUGAUUCCAUCCCGGUUUA
rnacentral:tRNA from 1 species